UACGUAGGCAGCGAGCGUUGUUCGGAGUUACUGGGCGUAAAGAGCUCGUAGGCGGUGUGUCGCGUCGGCCGUGAAAACCUGCAGCUUAACUGUGGGCUUGCGGUCGAUACGGGCAUCACUGGAGUUCGGCAGGGGAGACUGGAAUUCCUGGUGUAGCGGUGAAAUGCGCAGAUAUCAGGAGGAACACCGGUGGCGAAGGCAAUCCCCCUGGGCCUGCACUGACGCUCAUGCACGAAAGCGUGGGGAGCAAACAGG
rnacentral:rRNA from 1 species